AGUAGACUGGGGGACAUCACCUCAUGUCAAGAUGGGGGGAACAGGCAGGGGGUGAGGGCAGGGUGUGUGCACAUGACAUUGGCUAAAAUUAAGAUUCUGGGGUAAAAUUAUGACAGUUGUAGGUGCUCCUACCCUGGAAGUGAUCCAGGCCAGGUUGGAUAAGGCCUUGAGCAACCUGGUCUACUAGAAGAUAUCCCAGGCAGGCAGAGGAACUGGAUGAACUUUAAGUUCCCUUCCAGCCCCUUAACAUUGUAUGAUUCUGUGCUGGCACCUCAAGGUUGUGGACUGUAAAUAAAGUUCUUGUAUUGAGAGCUGCAGUUCAUCACCCUGGGACUGUGAAAGAGAAAAUGUUCCCAGCCCAGCUUUUUAUUCCAAAGGUAGAAAAUAGACAAAUGUGGUUGAACCACUAAUGAGUCAACCAUGAAAACCUGAGCAAACUGUUCCCAGCCGCAGCCCUCCCAGCUUAUCGACCAGGUUAAGCGUGUGAAAGUAAUUCGGCUGUCGGCUGACAAGGUCAACUUUUGUGAUACUGGCAAGGAAGGAAGGUGCUUCCCUUUGUUAGGCCAUUUUCUCAAUGAAAAGGAGAAGGGGAGAAAAACCACCACAAACCUCACCAGGAAUCCAGAAGCACCCAGCCCGAGGAUCCUGCCUGGGGUGAGAUCAUCACCUCAACCAACUCCAGGAGAGCUGCUCUGCCUUGGCAGGAGUCACUCAUAUUUUUCACCAACAGCAUGUGUGCAGCAAGUUAUUUCCUUUCUUUUAUGAUUAAGCCCCCACUUGUUGCCUGGAGAUCAAAGCCAAGGGUUCUUCCUUUCUGGCUGGCCUGCGCAGGACGAGGCGAGUUGUGUGUCACAGGGCUGGGACCCUGGUAAACAACACGACAGAGCAGCGUCACUGCCCCAUUCACCCUCCACAUCCUGCUUUUGAACCAGGGCGGAAAUUUGUGUGCAAGGGGGCCACGGGUGGCUCACAUUUUAUCCUUCUGUUGGGGCUGGAGUGUUCCUAAAGCGAGGUGGGGGCUUUUUGUGUCCAUGAAACAGUUGUAUGCUGUCCUGUUGUACCUUCUCCUCUGGGUGCCUUAAACAUUAGCAGAGCCCCUGCAAUCCUCACCGAU